GAUGAAGAACGUAGCGAAAUGCGAUAAGUAAUGUGAAUUGCAGAAUUCAGUGAAUCAUCGAAUCUUUGAACGCACAUUGCGCCCGCCAGUAUUCUGGCGGGCAUGCCUGUUCGAGCGUCAUUUCAAUCAUCAAGCCCCCGGCUUGUGUUGGGGACCUGCGGCUGCCGCAGGCCCUGAAAAGCAGUGGCGGGCUCGCUGUCACACCGAGCGUAGUAGCAUACAUCUCGCUCUGGGCGUGCUGCGGGUUCCGGCCGUUAAACCACCUUCAUAACCCAAGGUUGACCUCGGAUCAGGUAGGAAGACCCGCUGAACUUAAGCAUAUCAAUAAGCGGAGGA
rnacentral:misc_RNA from 1 species